rnacentral:lncRNA from 1 species
UACUAUAUAUGGAUUCAUUGAUGAGGAAAAUGAUACUACAUAUUUAUGGAUUUAAUUGCCAAAUUAAGAUGUUACUAUACAUGGCCUAAAUCAAUCAUAUCGUUUGUUCCAUGUUUAAUCACUACAACUAGUCCUUGAUGGAGAUUAAACAUAUACAAAAGAGCAAAGGGAUUGUUUCGCGGGAGAAAGGAUAUUCAUUAUCACAUGUAAUCUGAUCCCAUAUUUACUAACAAGUUAUAUACAAUAGACUUGGUUGAGGGUUAAGGGUGGUAAUGAAAGGCUUAUAUAUAUGUAUUCCCUCUAAACAAGAAAUACUAUUAUUCAUGUGACUGAUAUAUAUAUAUAUAUAUAUAUAUAUAUAUAUAUAUAUAUAUAUAUAUAGUCAUAUUAUAUACAUCUAUCUAUUCGUUGUAUUUUAAUUCAGAUUUAUUCUCAAACAAAUGGACCUCAAAAAGUAUAUCACCACUAAUUAAUUAUCUAGAAGAUGUUAGUUAGUGUGUCACCUUCUAAUUAUAACAUUUAGCCUUUAAUCAGAUCAGGUUGGACUAAUCCUCGGAACGAUAAUUUGUCAAUCUUUUAUUUAUUAGCUUAAUUAAUUUAUCAACUGCAAAGAUCCGUCUCAAAAAUUGCGUAUAAAGAUCAUUUACAGUCGCUAAUUAAUUCACUACUUUUUAU